GGGGGGAAAUAUGCAAAUGGCGCUGGUUGGUCGCCAUGACUACCACACUAUGGUUAUGUGUGUGAGUAAUAAGCGGGCACGCGGUGUGAUUGUAUGCCAUUCGGUUUAUGAGACUCCCUCCCCUAUCGUUAACUUCCUAGCAGUUCUAUUCGGAACUUUACCACUAUCCUUAGCCGGUAGACUACCGAAAUUUCAUUGACGCCGUUUUCAUCAAACACUGCGAUUGUCGUCGAUCAUUUCGCAAUAUCGGCCAAGUUGAGCUUUUAUGAUCUAGCUGAUCAUUGUUUGUCAAUCGAUAAGUUAUUUUAAUAGCAAUACAAUACCGCAUUAGCAGUUAUUUAGUUCUCUGAGGUGACAAAUUCAUUUUUACUCAUGAGAUUGUGACACAGAAUGGAUAAAUAUAAUAUAUUAUAUUCAUAUUUAAUAUAGUUAUUCUAAAAUG